rnacentral:ncRNA from 1 species
UGUGAUUUGAAUUAAAAGGGAAUCGGGUGUAAAUCCCGAACAGUCCACGCUGCUGUGAAACUCUGCUAAUAUCUUGUAAAACACCUUUGCCACUGAUGUGACAUUUAUACAUUGGGAAGGCAUCAAGAUUAGGAGUCAGUCAGAAGACCUGCCAUUCAUUAA